UACAGAGGGGGCAAGCGUUGUCCGGAUUUACUGGGCGUAAAGGGCGUGCAGGCGGUCUGUUAAGUGCAGGGUGAAAGCUCCCGGCUCAACUGGGAGAGGUCCUUGCAUACUGGCGGACUUGAGGGGGGUAGAGGAAAGUGGAAUUCCCGGUGUAGUGGUGAUAUGCGUAGAUAUCGGGAGGAACACCUGUGGCGAAGGCGGCUUUCUGGGCCCUACCUGACGCUGAGACGCGAAAGCGUGGGGAGCGAACCGG
rnacentral:rRNA from 1 species